CCNUGUGUAGCGGUGAAAUGCGUAGAUAUAUGGAGGAACACCAGUGGCGAAAGCGGCUCUCUGNUCUGUCACUGACGCUGAGGCUCGAAAGCGUGGGUAGCGAACAGGAUUAGAUACCCUGGUAGUNCACGCCGUAAACGAUGAGUGCUAGGUGUUAGGCCCNUUCCGGGGCUUAGUGCCGGAGCUAACGCAAUAAGCACUCCGCCUGGGGAGUACGACCGCAAGGUUGAAACUCAAAGGAAUUGACGGGGGCCCGCACAAGCGGUGGAGCAUGUGGUUUAAUUCGAAGCAACGCGAAGAACCUUACCAGGUCUUGACAUCCCGAUGCUAUUCUUAGAGAUAGGAAGUUACUUCGGUACAUCGGAGACAGGUGGUGCAUGGUUGUCGUCAGCUCGUGUCGUGAGAUGUUGGGUUAAGUCCCGCAACGAGCGCAACCCUUAUUGUUAGUUGCCAUCAUUAAGUUGGGCACUCUAGCGAGACUGCCGGUAAUAAACCGGAGGAAGGUGGGGAUGACGUCAAAUCAUCAUGCCCCUUAUGACCUGGGCUACACACGUGCUACAAUGGUCGGUACAACGAGUUGCGAGCCGGUGACGGCAAGCUAAUCUCUGAAAGCCGAUCUCAGUUCGGAUUGGAGGCUGCAACUCGCCUCCAUGAAGUCGGAAUCGCUAGUAAUCGCGGAUCAGCACGCCGCGGUGAAUACGUUCCCGGGCCUUGUACACACCGCCCGUCACACCACGAGAGUUUGUAACACCCGAAGUCGGUGAGGUANCCUUUU
rnacentral:rRNA from 1 species